GGGGUUGUAGCUCAGUGGUAGAACGCUUGCCUCGAAAGCAUGAGGAACUAGGUUCAAUUCUCAGCACCA
rnacentral:tRNA from 1 species